UGCCGUCACUACAGUAAGUCGCUCUGGAUAAGAGCGUCUGCUAAAUGACUAAAA
rfam:Salmo salar isolate Sally breed double haploid chromosome ssa15, whole genome shotgun sequence.